rnacentral:tRNA from 1 species
GCCUGGCUAGCUCAGUCGGUAGAGCAUGAUACUCUUAAUCUCAGAGUCGGGGGUUCGAGCCCCCCGUUGGGCG